GGAAGGGGACACGCACGUGCGUCCACAAAGGGACCAGCCGGCCGGCCGAUGAGCACGGCAGUGGUUGUCAACCGAUUUGUAUCUACCCUACAGAAUAUUCUCUUCCAAACAAACUUUCGACGUUGUGGAUUCAAACGUUCACACCUCGUUUGUUUCGCGGGGUUCGAAGACACGUUGAAGAGGAAGAACGACGGAGGAAGUUCGUAGGGGCAGGCAGAGAGGAUCUCAGCUCUAUUGAAAGUUGCGAAGUGUGCGGCGCAUCGGAGAGUAUCAAAUUCACAACAUCCCUUUGCUGUGGUCUAAGCGUCCGAAAGUGGACGUUGACACCCCUUAGACGGCGUCCCUUGUAGCACAUCCGCAUGCAGGAAGCGUAGUGAAACAGGAUGUUCGUGCCGCGGGGAACUACGAGCGACGGGAUGUGACCUCACGAGAUUCAACCCCCGACCAGCCAGCUUGCAACUGCUGUGGGAUAGGAGCAAGAGCAGGGCGAAUGAAUCGUAUCGACCCCAUACCAGACUUCUGAAAUACGUCAAGCCAUGUGCGCUACUGCCAGAGGGGAGAAAACUGAACCAAUGGUAUCACGAUGCAUCCCCUCAAACAGCAUCUCUGGUGCAAAACCUUUCGCCAAGUAUAUUAAAUUCGGUCAUUGGCCACAAAAAUAGCUUCUUUUACCAAAAAUGUAUGCAUUCAAUCGCUUUAUGCAAUCCUUUAUCAAAAAUGAUUCAAUUCACGUAUUAUUUCCAAGCACAUGUCCGUUAAUUUAAAAUAAAAGCAUGAUUGAAACUUAAUGUAUCUUCCCAAGCGAGAUAUAAGCAGUGUGUAAUUGUUUAUGCAGCUUUC